rnacentral:misc_RNA from 1 species
UCCGACUUAGAGCCGGCAGUCUCAUAAGAAAAAUACAACUUAUGACAUGGGUUGCGCUCGUUUACGGACUUAACCGAACACCUCAAGGCACGAGCUGACGACAACCAUGCAGCACCUGUCUCCGGGUUCCUUACGGCACAUCCGCCUUUCGGCAGACUUCCCGGGAUGUCAAGUCUUGGUGAGGUUCUUCGCUUAUUGUCGAAUUAAACCAGAUGCUCCACCGCUUGUGUGGGUCCCCGUCUAUUCCUUUGAGUUUUAAUCUUGCGAUCGUACUACCCAGGCGGAAUACUUAAUGCGUUAGCUUCGGCGCUGAAGGGGUCGAGACCCCCAACACCUAGUAUUCAUCGUUUAGGGCGUGGACUA